rnacentral:rRNA from 1 species
GAUAGGCGAAGCGUGCUGUUGGAGUGCACGUCCAAGCAGUGAUACUGAGUGUUAGGCAAAUCCGGCACUCAAAAGGUCAAGCUGUGAUGGGGAGAGGAAAUUGUUUCCUCGAGUAGUUGAUUUCACACUGCCGAGAAAAGCCUCUAGCUAGAAAGUUGGUGCCCGUACCGCAAACCGACACAGGUAGUCACGAUGAGAAUUCUAAGGUGAGCGAGCGAACUCAUGUUAAGGAACUCGGCAAAAUG